CCUUUUUGUAAAAAAAGGAAAUAAACGUAAUGUUUAUAAAAACAAAAAUUGAACAGGCUAAUUUGCGCAAGAGAGUACAAAUUGAGUGCGCGGUUUGGCACCUCGAUGUCGACUUAGCUCAUCCACAUGAACGCAGGAAUCAUGAAGGGUUCGACUGUUCGUCGAUUAAAGAGCUACAUGAGUUGGGUUUAAUACGUCGUGAGACAGUAUGGUUUCUAUCUUCUAGGGGAAUUUGGAGUAAAAUAAAAAUAGCCCCAUUGUACGAAAGGAACUGGGUAUGUUGACCAAUAGUUUACCUGUUGUUUGAAUAUACAUGUCUAUUAUCAUUAAAGUAGAAAAUUAUUGAAAAGCACGGCAGGAAAGCCACGUCAAUUAGAGAUAAAUGCUGAAAGCAUAUAAGCAUGAAACUUUUUUUAGUAUACUUCUUCUAUAAACGUAGUAAAACACUACGAAUUAGGCUUUAAUUGUAAGGAUAAAAAAUUUUUAGGUAUAAAGUACUAAUGUUUAAU
rnacentral:ncRNA from 1 species